AAGGCUAAUCAAGCCUGGUGAUAGCUGGUUCUCCCCGAAAGCUAUUUAGGUAGCGCCUCGGACGAAUACCAUAGGGGGUAGAGCACUGUUUCGGCUAGGGGGUCAUCCCGACUUACCAAACCGAUGCAAACUCCGAAUACCUAUGAGUACUAUCCGGGAGACAGACUGCGGGUGCUAACGUCCGUAGUCAAGAGGAAAACAAUCCAGACCGCCAGCUAAGGCCCCAAAAUCAUAGUUAAGUGGGAAACGAUGUGGGAAGGCAUAGACAGCUAGGAGGUUGGCUUAGAAGCAGCCACCCUUUAAAGAAAGCGUAAUAGCUCACUAGUCGAGUCGGCCUGCGCGGAAGAUGUAACGGGGCUAAAACUAUGUGCCGAAGCUGCGGAUGUAUACUUUGUAUACGUGGUAGGGGAGCGUUCUGUAAGCCGAUGAAGGUGUGUUGAGAAGCAUGCUGGAGGUAUCAGAAGUGCGAAUGCUGACGUGAGUAACGACAAAACGGGUGAAAAACCCGUUCGCCGAAAGACCAAGGGUUCCAGUCCAACGUUAAUCGGGGCUGGGUGAGUCGACCCCUAAGGCGAGGCCGAAAGGCGUAGUCGAUGGGAAAAUGGUUAAUAUUCCAUUACUUCUGUGUAAUGCGAUGAGAGGACGGAGAAGGCUAAAUCAGCCUGGCGUUGGUUGUCCAGGUGAAAGGAUGUAGGCAUGUAUCUUAGGCAAAUCCGGGGUACUCUAUGCUGAGAUCUGAUAGCAAGCUGUACUUGUACAGCGAAGUGGUUGAUGCCAUGCUUCCAGGAAAAGUCUCUAAGCUUCAGUUACACAGGAAUCGUACCCGAAACCGACACAGGUGGUCAGGUCGAGUAGACCAAGGCGCUUGAGAGAACUCUGCUGAAGGAACUAGGCAAAAUGGUACCGUAACUUCGGGAGAAGGUACGCUGUUGUUGGUGAUGGAACUCGCUUCCUGAGCUGACGACAGCCGCAGAAACCAGGCCGCUGCAACUGUUUAUUAAAAACAUAGCACUCUGCAAACACGAAAGUGGACGUAUAGGGUGUGAUGCCUGCCCGGUGCUGGAAGGUUAAUUGAUGGGGUUAGCGUAAGCGAAGCUCUUGAUCGAAGCCCCAGUAAACGGCGGCCGUAACUAUAACGGUCCUAAGGUAGCGAAAUUCCUUGUCGGGUAAGUUCCGACCUGCACGAAUGGCAUAAUGAUGGCGGCGCUGUCUCCAGCAGAGGCUCAGUGAAAUCGAAAUCGCUGUGAAGAUGCAGUGUACCCGCGGCUAGACGGAAAGACCCCGUGAACCUUUACUGCAGCUUGACACUGAACUUUGACCUUACUUGUGUAGGAUAGGUGGGAGGCUUUGAAGCUGGAACGCUAGUUCCAGUGGAGCCGUCCUUGAAAUACCACCCUGGUAAUGUUGAGGUUCUAACUCUGUCCCGUGAUCCGGGACGAGGACCGUGUCUGGUGGGUAGUUUGACUGGGGCGGUCUCCUCCUAAAGAGUAACGGAGGAGUACGAAGGUGCGCUCAGCGUGGUCGGAAAUCACGCGUAGAGUAUAAAGGCAAAAGCGCGCUUAACUGCGAGACCCACAAGUCGAGCAGGUACGAAAGUAGGUCUUAGUGAUCCGGUGGUUCUGUAUGGAAGGGCCAUCGCUCAACGGAUAAAAGGUACUCUGGGGAUAACAGGCUGAUACCGCCCAAGAGUUCAUAUCGACGGCGGUGUUUGGCACCUCGAUGUCGGCUCAUCUCAUCCUGGGGCUGAAGCAGGUCCCAAGGGUAUGGCUGUUCGCCAUUUAAAGAGGUACGCGAGCUGGGUUUAGAACGUCGUGAGACAGUUCGGUCCCUAUCUACCGUGGGCGCUGGAAAUUUGAGAGGAUCUGCUCCUAGUACGAGAGGACCAGAGUGGACGAACCUCUGGUGUACCGGUUGUGACGCCAGUCGCAUCGCCGGGUAGCUAUGUUCGGAAGGGAUAACCGCUGAAAGCAUCUAAGCGGGAAGCCUACCUCAAGAUAAGAUUUCCCUAGGACUUUAUGUCCUCUAAAGAGCCGUUCGAGACUAGGACGUUGAUAGGUUGGAUGUGGAAGCAUAGUGAUAUGUGAAGCUGACCAAUACUAAUUGCUCGUGAGGCUUGACUAU
rnacentral:rRNA from 1 species